rnacentral:rRNA from 1 species
CGGAGGGUGCAAGCGUUGUCCGGAUUUAUUGGGUUUAAAGGGUGCGUAGGCGGUCUUUUUAAGUCAGUGGUGAAAUCCUGCAGCUCAACUGUAGAACAGCCAUUGAUACUGAAAGACUUGAGUACAGACGAGGUAGGCGGAAUUUAUGGUGUAGCGGUGAAAUGCAUAGAUACCAUAAAGAACCCCUAUUGCGAAGGCAGCUUACUAGGCUGUAACUGACGCUGAGGCACGAAAGCGUGGGGAUCAAACAGGAUUAGAUACCCUGGUAGUCCACGCCGUAAACGAUGAUUACUCGAUGUUCGCGAUAUACAGUGAGCGUCCAAGCGAAAGCGUUAAGUAAUCCACCUGGGAAGUACGAUCGCAAGAUUG